rnacentral:tRNA from 1 species
UGGGCGGUAGUUCAAUGGUGAGAACCGGUGUCUUAUAUGCAUCUAACCUGAGUUCGAUUCUCAGUCGCCCUA